CUGUCUGAAGAUCGGGGGACCACCCUCGAAGGCUAAGUACUCCUUGCUGACCGAUAGCGAACCAGUACCGUGAGGGAAAGGUGAAAAGCACCCCGACAAGGGGAGUGAAAGAGAACCUGAAACCGGUUGCCUACAAACAGUCGGAGCCAUCAUUGGUGACGGCGUACCUUUUGUAUAAUGGGUCAACGACUUGGUCUCACGAGCAAGCUUAAGCCGUUAGGCGGAGGCGCAGCGAAAGCGAGUCUGAACAGGGCGUUCAGUUCGUGGGAUCAGACCCGAAACCGAGUGAUCUAGGCAUGUCCAGGAUGAAGGUGCAGUAACAUGCACUGGAGGUCCGAACCCACACCUGUUGAAAAAGGUCGGGAUGAGGUGUGCCUAGGGGUGAAAGGCCAAUCAAACUCGGAGAUAGCUGGUUCUCCGCGAAAACUAUUUAGGUAGUGCGUCAGACGAAUACCACCGGGGGUAGAGCACUGGAUGGGUAAUGGGGACCCACAGUCUUACUGAUCCUAACCAAACUCCGAAUACCGGUGAGUACUAUCUGGCAGACAGACGUCGGGUGCUAACGUCCGGCGUCGAGAGGGAAACAACCCUGACCUGCAGCUAAGGCCCCCAAUUCGUGGCUAAGUGGGAAAGCAUGUGGGACUUCCAAAACAACCAGGAGGUUGGCUUAGAAGCAGCCAUCCUUUAAAGAUAGCGUAACAGCUCACUGGUCUAAGUAAGAGGUCCUGCGGCGAAGAUGUAACGAG
rnacentral:rRNA from 1 species